rnacentral:rRNA from 1 species
AUUGAACGCUGGCGGCAGGCCUAACACAUGCAAGUCGAGCGAGCGGCGGACGGGUGAGUAAUGUCUGGGAAACUGCCUGAUGGAGGGGGAUAACUACUGGAAACGGUAGCUAAUACCGCAUACCAUCAGAUGUGCCCAGAUGGGAUUAGCUAGUAGGGGGGGUAAUGGCUCACCAAGGCAACGAUCCCUAGCUGGUCUGAGAGGAUGACCAGCCAAACGGGAACGGAGACAGGGUCCAGACGCCUACGGGAGGCAGCAGUGGGGAAUACUGCACAAUGGGCGCAAGCCUGAGGCAGCCAUGCCGCGUGUAUGAAGAAGGUCUUCGGGUUGUAAAGUACUUUCAGCGAGGAGGCGUUACUCGCAGAAGAAGCACCGGCUAACUCCGUGCCAGCAGCCGCGGUAAUUC